CGCUCCAGUCCUCCCUGUCAUAAUAUGCAACAGAGGACAUGGAAAUCAUAUUAUAUCCCAGAGAAAUAGAAGUGCGUAAAUGCUACACAAGCAACAUGGCAGUAGCAGCAAGUCCAGGGUCCUCAUGGCAACGCACAAACCGACAGGCCUUCAAAACAGACUACAGAAGACCUACACUGCAGUUCUCUCUCAGCGUGUCUUGACUGGGGAAAAAACGGAGGGAGAGAUGGAGGGAAAGCUGGAAGGAGAAAAGGCCCCCUGGGAACCACGGGCAAACGGGGUGUGUGAACCUCCAUCGCUUAACCCCGUUUAAUAACCAUAUCUCACACACACACACAUGCACAUUUGAACUUCCUAAUGCACAAGCAUCUACACGGUCUCUCUCUCCCACUUACAUAUUUAGAGUGAAUGGUAUUAAUAUAAUAUGCUCUCAAAAGGAAGGAUAUUUUGCAUUUAAAAUAAAAUCCAGGGGCAAUUUAUGGGGAGCUUAACAGCUGUAAAUCCAGCUCUUGAUCUCUUUGAUCAAUUUAUGGUCAGGUAAAACAUGGGAUAGAGAGAUAAAGCAGAUAGCCAAGAGUUGAAUGGCCAUCCUUAGACACAGUAAUUCAUACUGAAUGACAUGAAGUGAUAGCUGAUUGCCAGAAGGAAGGCAAGGGAAAUGGAGAGACAUGGAAGAAAAGAGAGAGGAGGAGUGUGUCUGUUCUUAGAUGUAUUCAACAUUUCAAUGGUUCAAGGAACACUUUGAACACUGCAAAAACAAAGCACAACACGAACCACACUAUCCUUGUGGGGGCCAAACAAUUGAUUCCCAUUCAAAAUCCUAUUUUCCCUUAACCUUAACCCCAAACCUAACCACUAACCCUAAUG